rnacentral:rRNA from 1 species
UACGUAGGGGGCAAGCGUUGUCCGGAAUCAUUGGGCGUAAAGCGCGCGUAGGUGGCCCGGUAAGUCCGCUGUAAAAGUCCAGGGCUCAACCCUGGAAAGCCGGUGGAUACUGUCGGGCUAGAGUCCGGAAGAGGCGAGUGGAAUUCCUGGUGUAGCGGUGGAAUGCGCAGAUAUCGGGAAGAACACCCGUGGCGAAGGCGGUUCUCUGGGACGGUACUGACGCUGAGACGCGAAAGCGUGGGGAGCGAACAGG